AUAAAUAAAAUUGAAUAUAAUUAGUAUUUACGGAAUUUUGAUUCACUGUUGGGUGACUUUUGAUCAACUCUGUAUUUAUAUAUAUAUAUAUAUAUAUAUAUAUAU